GGCAGCACGGGGGCAACCCUGGUGGCGAGUGGCGAACGGGUGAGUAAUACAUCGGAACGUGUCCUGUAGUGGGGGAUAGCCCGGCGAAAGCCGGAUUAAUACCGCAUACGCUCUACGGAGGAAAGGGGGGGAUCUCAGGACCUCCCGCUACAGGGGCGGCCGAUGGCAGAUUAGCUAGUUGGUGGGGUAAAGGCCUACCAAGGCGACGAUCUGUAGCUGGUCUGAGAGGACGACCAGCCACACUGGGACUGAGACACGGCCCAGACUCCUACGGGAGGCAGCAGUGGGGAAUUUUGGACAAUGGGCGAAAGCCUGAUCCAGCAAUGCCGCGUGUGUGAAGAAGGCCUUCGGGUUGUAAAGCACUUUUGUCCGGAAAGAAAACCUCCGCCCUAAUAUGGUGGGGGGAUGACGGUACCGGAAGAAUAAGCACCGGCUAACUACGUGCCAGCAGCCGCGGUAAUACGUAGGGUGCAAGCGUUAAUCGGAAUUACUGGGCGUAAAGCGUGCGCAGGCGGUCCGCUAAGACAGAUGUGAAAUCCCCGGGCUUAACCUGGGAACUGCAUUUGUGACUGGCGGGCUAGAGUAUGGCAGAGGGGGGUAGAAUUCCACGUGUAGCAGUGAAAUGCGU
rnacentral:rRNA from 1 species